GAUGAACGCUGACAGAAUGCUUAACACAUGCAAGUCAACUUGAACUUCGGUUUGGGUGGCGGACGGGUGAGUAACGCGUAAAGAACUUGCCUCACAGAUAGGGACAACAUUUGGAAACGAAUGCUAAUACCUGAUAUUAUGAUUUUAGGGCAUCCUAGGAUUAUGAAAGCUAUAUGCGCUGUGAGAGAGCUUUGCGUCCCAUUAGCUAGUUGGAGAGGUAACGGCUCACCAAGGCGAUGAUGGGUAGCCGGCCUGAGAGGGUGAUCGGCCACAAGGGGACUGAGACACGGCCCUUACUCCUACGGGAGGCAACAGUGGGGAAUAUUGGACAAUGGACCAAGAGUCUGAUCCAGCAAUUCUGUGUGCACGAUGAAGUUUUUCGGAAUGUAAAGUGCUUUCAGUUGGGAAGAAAAAAAUGACGGUACCAGCAGAAGAAGUGACGGCUAAAUACGUG
rnacentral:rRNA from 1 species